CUACGGGAGGCAGCAGUGAGGAAUAUUGGUCAAUGGGCGAGAGCCUGAACCAGCCAAGUCGCGUGAAGGAUGACUGCCCUAUGGGUUGUAAACUUCUUUUUUAGGGGAAUAAAGUGAGUCACGUGUGACUUUUUGUAUGUACCCUACGAAUAAGCAUCGGCUAACUCCGUGCCAGCAGCCGCGGUAAUACGGAGGAUGCGAGCGUUAUCCGGAUUUAUUGGGUUUAAAGGGUGCGUAGGCCGACUUUUAAGUCAGUGGUGAAAUUUUCCGGCUCAACCGGGACAUUGCCAUUGAAACUGAUAGUCUUGAGUGUAAAUGAGGUAGGCGGAAUGUGUGGUGUAGCGGUGAAAUGCUUAGAUAUCACACAGAACUCCGAUUGCGAAGGCAGCUUACUGGCAUACAACUGACGCUGAGGCACGAAAGUGUGGGUAUCAAACGGGAUUAGAUACCCGGGUAGUC
rnacentral:rRNA from 1 species